UACGAAGGGGGCUAGCGUUGCUCGGAUUGACUGGGCGUAAAGGGCGCGUAGGCGGUUUGUACAGUCAGACGUGAAAUCCCUCGGCUUAACCGGGGAACUGCGUCUGAUACUGGAUGGCUUGAGUUUGGGAGAGGGACGCGGAAUUCCAGGUGUAGCGGUGAAAUGCGUAGAUAUCUGGAGGAACACCGGUGGCGAAGGCGGCGUCCUGGACCAACACUGACACUGAUGAGCGAAAGCCAGGGGAGCAAACGGG
rnacentral:rRNA from 1 species